UACGGAGGGAGCUAGCGUUAUUCGGAAUUACUGGGCGUAAAGCGCACGUAGGCGGCUUUGUAAGUUAGAGGUGAAAGCCUGGAGCUCAACUCCAGAAUUGCCUUUAAGACUGCGUCGCUUGAAUCCAGGAGAGGUGAGUGGAACUGCGAGUGUAGAGGUGAAAUUCGUAGAUAUUCGCAAGAACACCAGUGGCGAAGGCGGCUCACUGGCCCGGUACUGACGCUGAGGUGCGAAAGCGUGGGGAGCAAACAGG
rnacentral:rRNA from 1 species